rnacentral:rRNA from 1 species
UACGUAGGGGGCAAGCGUUGUCCGGAAUCAUUGGGCGUAAAGCGCGUGUAGGCGGCUCGGUAAGUCUGCUGUGAAAGUCCAGGGCUCAACCCUGGGACGCCGGUGGAUACUGUCGAGCUCGAGUCCGGAAGAGGCGAGUGGAAUUCCUGGUGUAGCGGUGAAAUGCGCAGAUAUCAGGAGGAACACCAAUGGCGAAGGCAGCUCGCUGGGACGUGACUGACGCUGAGACGCGAAAGCGUGGGGAGCAAACAGG